AGCAGGCACAAGGUCGUGUGAGCCCUGGCCAGAGUAGCACAGUUGGUCAGAGCAUUGUCCAGAUACAACAAGGUUGUGGGUUCGAUCCCUGGUCAGGGCACACACAAGAAUCAAUCAAUGAAUGCAUAAAUAAAUGGAAC